rnacentral:lncRNA from 1 species
AUGCAGGAAAGCCAGCCCAGCCUUCCUAGAUGCUGCUUGGGCUGGAGCAGUGGGAUAAGGAGGUGCCCAAGGGGGUCAGAGCCAAGCUGGAAGGAGCAGCCUGAGCAGGAGCUGGGAGCAGCACGGCAAUGGGCUGGAGGACUGGUGCCUGCCCAUGCUGCCGAGAAGGAAAUCCACCCACAGAGGCGACGUGGAGGUGCUGCCUCGGGAUGUAUUUAUGGUGCAGGCUCACUGGCUCGGCUCCACAAAAUUUGUAGUACAGGGAGGGCUGAUAAAAAGCAAUUCAGAGGAGCCCGGUCGGUGCGGAGACACAAUAUGCCAGUGCUGGCUGUAAGCAGCGAUGAGACGACCUCAGCAGUCCCGCGGUCAUUCCUUGGAUCCGCAGCUGGGCUGGGUUGGAGAUGA